rnacentral:tRNA from 1 species
UAAAGCAAUUGAUUUGCACUCAUUAGAUGUAAGAUGUAGUCUUGCAGUCCUUA